rnacentral:rRNA from 1 species
UACGUAGGUGGCAAGCGUUGUCCGGAAUUAUUGGGCGUAAAGCGCGCGCAGGCGGCCUUUUAAGUCUGAUGUGAAAUCUUGCGGCUCAACCGCAAAGCGGUCAUUGGAAACUGGGAGGCUUGAGUACAGAAGAGGAGAGUGGAAUUCCACGUGUAGCGGUGAAAUGCGUAGAUAUGUGGAGGAACACCAGUGGCGAAGGCGACUCUCUGGUCUGUAACUGACGCUGAGGCGCGAAAGCGUGGGGAGCGAACAGG